UCAAAACAUCAAUUGAAUGUUAGAGAUACAAUUUGUGUUCUUGUAUGUGUGACUAUGUAUCUUUGUACAAGAGUAUAUUCUGUUUACAACAAAACUAUACACAAAACAAAAAAGGGAAAUAAUUAAAUGUCAUCCACAUGGAUGAAUCAAAAUGGCUUCUUAAGGUGCAUGAAAUCCAAUGAUGAUGAAUCAACACACUCAGCUUUGCUCCUAUAACCAUUCAACAAUUUCAACAACUCAGUAGCUUUCUCCUUUGUAUUCUCACCACAACCAACUUGCAGUAAAACAAGCAAUUUCUGAAACAUCCCAACUUGAAUUGCCUCAAUCAAAACACCUU
rnacentral:lncRNA from 1 species